rnacentral:rRNA from 1 species
GACGAACGCUGGCGGCGUGCUUAACGCAUGCAAGUCGAACGGAAAGGCCCUGCUUUUGUGGGGUGCUCGAGUGGCGAACGGGUGAGUAACACGUGAGUAACCUGCCCUUGACUUUGGGAUAACUUCAGGAAACUGGGGCUAAUACCGGAUAGGAGCUCCUGCUGCAUGGUGGGGGUUGGAAAGUUUCGGCGGUUGGGGAUGGACUCGCGGCUUAUCAGCUUCUUGGUGGGGUAGUGGCUUACCAAGGCUUUGACGGGUAGCCGGCCUGAGAGGGUGACCGGCCACAUUGGGACUGAGAUACGGCCCAGACUCCUACGGGAGGCAGCAGUGGGGAAUAUUGCACAAUGGGCGGAAGCCUGAUGCAGCAACGCCGCGUGCGGGAUGACGGCCUUCGGGUUGUAAACCGCUUUCGCCUGUGACGAAGCGUGAGUGACGGUAAUGGGUAAAGAAGCACCGGCUAACUACGUG